UAGCUCAGCCCCGCCGUCCCUCGGCCCCCUGGCGGGGGUGGAGACUUGCAGGUUCAGGAGGCAGGGACCCUUGGCCACAACCCCAGAUCACCACUUACAGGUGCCCUGUGUUCGUCUCCUGGGACCACAGGCGGGGGCUUGAAGAGCAGACGUUUAUUCUCUCACGUUCUGGAGGCUGGGAGUUCAAGACCACGGCGUGGGCAGGGCACCGCGAACCCCACUGUCUCGUGUGUUUGAAAUCUGCUGAUUUUACCAAACGUGAUCAGACGCUGGGGAACGACUCCUGCCCCCGCCCAACCCUCCUCUCCCCCCCCUUCGCCCCCCAACCCCGUCACCCUGCUGGCCUCCAGCCCAGUUAAGGGGAAUGUCCACCGCAGAAGGCCCAGUGCUUCAGAGAGGAUAAAACACCCUCUAAAUGCACAUUAUUGUUAUUUUUAUUACAGGCAUCAGAGCAAAACCACCAGUUUAAAAGAGCUAAUUUAGUUAGGUCAGGCAUAAGUGCUACUCGAGUUGAAAACUCAUUCUCCUUUGCGGUAUUUUCUUUUGGGUAUAAAUCAAGAGAAGGGCUCUAAAAAUAUUUUUAGUACGAGUGGCGUUCAAUCAUCUGGUCAGUCACCUCUCAGCACACUUACCGACGGGGACCUCCGUGUGAUUCCCCCGACGGGCCUGCCCACAGGCCCGCCUUCCUCCCUCCACUCAAACCGUAUCUGAUUUCACCGGUUCCAAAAGGGAGCGGAGAACCCCACGACUGUGCAGCGCGGGGGAGGGGCUCCACUGCAGACCCACGCUGUGUGGACCUGGGGAGAGCUCUCCUGGUUACGUGGGGUGGGGGGGCUCCCGUGGGGUGGGGGGACUCCCCUCUCCACUCGCCUGUGCCUCCCCAGAACGGCCCUCCCUCCCCCCCACCCCACCCCCCAGUGGACACACAACCCAAGUCCUCGUGUGAAAGUUAAAUAUUCCCGGGAGGCCAAACGCCGUGUACCAGGACUGGCACACGGGCCACUCGGCCGCUGGCCCCGCCUGAGCCCGGGGUGGACGUUCCUAAUCCAUCAGGCUCGGCACCCGCUAAGCCUGCUCUCCGGCGGGGUCCCAGGCAGACGCCCCCACGACCAGAGUCAGCCCGUGGGUGGGGACCGGCAGCCACCCCCACCUGAACCCCCGGUGGGGAAGAAGACCAGGAUGAGGGAGAGGAAGGUGAUGGGUGUAACCCAUGACGUGUACAAAAUUAAAUAAACUGUGGCAAAAUGCACAUCACGUCAAAAUUGCCACCUUAACCGGU